rnacentral:rRNA from 1 species
UACGUAGGGUGCAAGCGUUGUCCGGAAUUAUUGGGCGUAAAGAGCUCGUAGGCGGUUUGUUGCGUCGGCUGUGAAAUCCCGAGGCUCAACCUCGGGUCUGCAGUCGAUACGAGCAAACUAGAGUGUUGCAGGGGAGACUGGAAUUCCUGGUGUAGCGGUGAAAUGCGCAGAUAUCAGGAGGAACACCGGUAGCGAAGGCGGGUCUCUGGGCAACAACUGACGCUGGAGGAGCGAAAGCGUGGGGAGCGAACAGG